rnacentral:lncRNA from 1 species
GCGCCUCGUUAUGAAAUUAAUAUGGCUGCGCCCAUGUAGUGAAAAAAUAUGAACCUGCCAAAACUAUAAACACAGUCAAUACAUGGUAUAUCUUCAAUAUUUUCACAUCAAAUAUGAAAUUGAGAAACAUUUGAAAGCACCACAGAAUGUACUUGAUGACAUACAUGCACCAUGUAGGUGUACACUUGCAUCUUGACUCUGAGUGCACAAAUGCAUUCUAAUUUCAAACAAGUAAUAGCUUUUCUAAAAAGCUAGCCGUCUCUUAGCUUCAGGAUGAAAGUAGAAAGUGUUAAAAUUCAUAAAGGCUAAUACAAUUUUUCCUAAUUUACUAAUGUUUUUUUGGGAUAAUUUACCAACACUGGAUUAGAAAGGGUGUGAUGCCUUAACUGUUUUUUUUAAAUUAAAUAUGAAAAUAUUUAUAAAAGUAUAUUUUAAACAUGGCUCUGGGAUAAUUAUUGUUUUUGCCAGUAUUUUAACUCUCUGUAUAGCAGUAUAAUUGUAGAUUUAAUAUUAAUGCAUACAUAUUACACUCGUUAAUGUCUUACUUGAAAUACUUGUAUGCAAUUGCAUUAAAAAGCUAUAAAAAAAAAGCACAUAAAUGUUCAGUGUGUAUCUAUAUAUGUCUGACAUGAUGACUCACCUAUCACACAUAAGAAACAAAGUGAAAUAUAGUUUUUUAAAUACAAUGUAUUAGUAGAAAUUGACAGUAGAGUUCUAGUUAAUCUAUAUUAAUUAAUAUUGACAACACUACAUGUACAUGUAGUUUUAUUAUGGAUUUUUGUAUAAUUUCAGGUUCUGAAAAAAAUCACAGGGGAUGAUAAAUUUAGACAAGAAGGAUCGACCACCAACAUGCUACACUUACUGGAACUUGAAAAACCUGCAAUUCACAAGAACAAGCCAAAGACUAGUAUUACCGUACAAAGUGGUUGAGGGUAUGGUCCCAGCUAUCCAAACCUGACAAAUUAUUGGUAACAAGCAAUCUUUACCAAAAAGGAACAUCAAGCCGACACGCUUUGCAGACUUUGAAAGUGAUAAUUUAUAAAUUUGGUUAAGGCUAUUGAAACAACAAACUGUGAAAACGAGCAAUUUAAAAACACAUUCUUCGUCAAAACUGUGAUUCAUUGAAAGAAGACGUAGUGUGCGCCAAGUCAGUUGAGAGCUUCAAAACAGCUCACCAAGGCCGUCAAUAGGAGUCCGCUCUCCCGUCAAGUUCAAGCCAGAAUUGGGACCUUCGAUGUAACAAUGCAGAUACAUAUAGCAUGAAAAGUUUUAUAUAAUGAACAUUUAUAUUUAUAUCUAUUGAUGUUUCAGUACAAGUAUGAUUAUUUGUUUUUGUUGUGAUCUAUGACAUACAUGUAUAGUAUAAACAAUUUUGAGAAAGUGUUAUCUGUAUACAUGACAGUUCCGUGAAAAUGUUAACCAACUUUUGUGUCAACUUAUUCAUUCAUCUAAAAACUGAUACAAGCCAAUAUUAGAAUUCAAUCAAUAGAUUAAGACUAUAAAAUCAGUUUUGACCUAGGCCUGUUCAAGUUUAUUAAGGUCAAAAUAAGAUAAAACAAAGUUUCAUAAUAUAAAAUAUCAAUGUAGGAGCAAACGGUGAAAAUGAUUUAGAUCCUAGUGCAAUAUGAGAUGGGUGACAUGUAUUUAGAUCCUGGUGCUCUAGAGGGGUGACAUUGAGUUGGAUCUGUUUGCUCAAACUAAAAUUUACAGUGCUUUAAAAAAUGAUAAGUGAUCAUGCUUUAUAAAGUUAUAAACUGUUACAAUCUGUAUACAUGUACUUACUUCCUGACAAUUUUAUUUUUACUUCUAAGUGUUUUAAAAUGUAAACUUUGAAGUAGGAAGACAUAAAAUAACUGAUAAGUCUUACUUUGUUCUUUUUUUUAAAAUAAAUAUUCGAGGGAGAGUUUAUUCAUUUUGGUUUUGCAGGGAGAGCUGAUUGAUUUAAACAGGGGCCGUGCAAUAACUAGAUGGGUUAUAAUUUAUUACAUAAACUGACGUUUUAAAUUUUUUUCAUCGAAAUAACUUUAGAAUUGUAAACUGAAUAUUCUAAAUACAUGUAUGAAAUAUUGUUAAUAUUGAUUAGGGUACAGCUUAUUAAUGGUUUUGAAACAUGAAUUUAAAUGGUUACUUUGAAGUAAAUUGAGAACAUGUUACCUAUUUGUUUGUUGUUGGUUGGACACCUUUUUCUAUACUUGAAAUUAACUACUUUGUAUUGUCUACUCAAAUGUAUUUUACAGUUCUGAUGUUAUGCAUCUUAUGUAAAUAAAAUAUGUAGGAUUUAUCUUUAAAAUUAUUUUGCUGAACCUCACACACUGACAAAUUUAGUUAGGUAACUGUAAAGCUUUCAGGCCUAACAUGGCGAAAUUUAAGUGAGAAUGUGUGAAAGAGAAAACAACAAGAACAAGGAGUGAAAAGAAAUAGUUUUGUCUUUAUUGACAUUGAAGGUCAAUUAUCACUACAGAUGCAACAAAUUUUUAUCUGCAUUCAUUGGCAACCAAAGUAUACAUUGUAAGUCAAUUCAUAUUGAGGAUAUUGUGACCUAUUGCUGAUGUUUUUGCUAGUCUUUUCAGGUCAUUGUUGUAUAUUUAUCUUUCACAAUUAUUGCUAUUGUCAUUGUGUUUCCUGAAUUGAAAGAUCACAAACACAUAUAACUACCUAGAAGCUUCCUGUUGAUUUUACUGAGUGAUGGAUUUAGGGGCCCUUAGGCCCCUUUCAUGGGAAAAAUUUAAUUGAUUAUACAGUGAAAAAUUUAACUAUGACUUGAGUGAGCCCCCUUUUAUGGCAGUCCCCCUUAUUAAAAAAAAUGGAUUUAUCAUUUUGAACUUUGUACCAGUACAAUAGAGAAAUAGCUAUAAG